rnacentral:tRNA from 1 species
ACUAAUAGCUGUUGCCCGGGGACAAGUUUGUCUUGAAAACAAACUUUGAGUGUUCGACUCACUCAAUAGCUUA